AUGAUCCUUCCGUAGGUGAACCUGCGGAGGGAUCAUUACAGAGUUGCAAAACUCCCUAAACCAUUGUGAACGUUACCUAUACCGUUGCUUCGGCGGGCGGCCCCGGGGUUUACCCCCCGGGCGCCCCUGGGCCCCACCGCGGGCGCCCGCCGGAGGUCACCAAACUCUUGAUAAUUUAUGGCCUCUCUGAGUCUUCUGUACUGAAUAAGUCAAAACUUUCAACAACGGAUCUCUUGGUUCUGGCAUCGAUGAAGAACGCAGCGAAAUGCGAUAAGUAAUGUGAAUUGCAGAAUUCAGUGAAUCAUCGAAUCUUUGAACGCACAUUGCGCCCGCCAGCAUUCUGGCGGGCAUGCCUGUUCGAGCGUCAUUUCAACCAUCAAGCCCCCGGGCUUGUGUUGGGGACCUGCGGCUGCCGCAGGCCCUGAAAAGCAGUGGCGGGCUCGCUGUCGCACCGAGCGUAGUAGCAUACAUCUCGCUCUGGUCGCGCCGCGGGUUCCGGCCGUUAAACCACCUUUUAACCCAAGGUUGACCUCGGAUCAGGUAGGAAGACCCGCUGAACUUAAGCAUAUCAAUAAGGCGGAGGA
rnacentral:rRNA from 1 species